GGACACUAAAGAGAAGACCUGUACGGUGGUGGUGGCAUUAAUGCAGAAGGACAGAAGAAAAGAGCGCUGCUCAGGUGCCAUCCUACACAACAUUGGCUUCGCCAUCUAUGAGGUUCCUAAUGAGGUAUGACUACAUCAUGAAGAGACCGCAGUGAUGACAUCAUAUAUGAAGGGCAACCAACAACAGCUGCCAAAGGACUUCUUCAUUUAUAAUGCUUCUACAGCUCGCUGCAAGUCCUAUGCCAACAUGCGUGAGGUAACGGAGCGUUUUUGCUUGAAACCGGGCGAGUAUGUCAUUAUCCCAUCCACCUUUGAUCCCCACAAGGAGAGCGAGUUUCUGCUCCGAGUCUUCUCUGAGAACAGGAGCACCUCAGAGUGAGUCUUAAAGCCACAACAGAACUGUUGUGUG
rnacentral:lncRNA from 1 species